GGGAAAUAGCUCGUACUCCCCGAAAUGCUUUUAGGAGCAGCGUGUGGAGAUGUUUGUUAGAGGUAGAGCUACCGAUUGGACUAGGGGGAGUCACAUCCUACCAAAUCCAGACGAACUCCGAAUGCUAAUAAAUUAUCCAUGCAGUGAGGGUUUGGGUGCUAAGGUCCAAAUCCGAGAGGGAAAGAACCCAGACCUACGGCUAAGGUCCCUAAAUCCGCGCUAAGUUGAACUAAGGAGGUCCAAUUGCUUAGACAGCCAGGAUGUUGGCUUGGAAGCAGCCAUUCAUUUAAAGAGUGCGUAACAGCUCACCAAUCGAGAGAUUUUGCGCCGAUAAUAUUCGGGACUAAAGACUAGAGCCGAAAUCGCGGAUUCACAUGUUUACAUGUGAGUGGUAGGAGAGCGUAGUAGUCAGCGCUGAAGGUGUACCGUAAGGAGCACUGGAGCGGCUACUAGUGAGGAUGCAUGGCAUAAGUAUACGAUAAA
rnacentral:rRNA from 1 species